CCCGCCGCGCGGUCAGCGCCCGCACCGGCCCUUCCGGCGGAACCCGCCUAGCGGGCUUCGAAGGGACCUCAGUUUCCGAGUAGUGAUGGGGGUGGAAGGUGAGGGGAAGAGCCGAGGGGCUCCCGGCCAAUGGCAGCUCUUGAACUUACACCUCCAGACGUCAGCGCGGCUGUGUAAACGGAUGUCACACAGCAGGCUCGGAAGUGUCUCCUCCCGCCUCAGAAACGCGGCGCACGCCCAGCGGCCUCGGAAAAACCUUAGGCGGCGAGAGGGAGGGGCAUGCGCCGCACGCCGCGAGCCCAGAGUCCCGCGCCCUCGCCGGCCGGCCUCCUCCCCGCAGUGUCUGUGUGGUAGCCGUCCUGGUUGAGCAGCCGGGCGCCGGCGUCCUCGCCACAAGCGCGCCGCCGCAACUGGCUCCGCCCCUUGCCGGAACGGGCCGCGCGCUCCUGCAGCUCUCAGCAGAGUCACGGGCGCGCGCGCCGCCGGCGGAGCCGCAGUUAAAAUGGUCCGAGAGGGACCCGGCCUUGCCCCCGCCGCCGCGCUGACUGACUGAGCCGGCUGACCGGGCCCGACUGGUCGCCUAGCCGGCAGGCUCGCUCUCUCCCUCCCUCCCUCGCGUCCCUAAAGCUCGCGCCCAUCGUUCUCCCGGCUUCCCUGGGCAAAGCAUGUAGCCCCCUUCGGGCACUCCGGCGGCCCGCGGCUGACGCCCACCUCCCUACCAUCGCGUGUGUGCCCGUGUGUGCGUGUGUGUGCGCAGCGCGGGCGACACCGCCGCGGGCCGGAGGCCGAGCCAGCGAGCGGCCUGCCCCGCUGCCGGCAGCUCGCCUCUCUGGGCCUCCCUCCCUCCCGUCCCGGUGCCCCUCCUCGGGGCCUUCUAUAUGGGCCACCUUCUCUCGAAGGAGCCGCGUAACCGCCCGAGCCAGAAGAGGCCUCGCUGUUGCAGUUGGUGCCGCCGCCGGCGCCCUCUCCUCAGGCUGCCCCGCCGGACCCCAGCCAAGGUGCCCCCCCAGCCGGCGGCGCCCCGGAGCCGGGACUGCUUCUUCCGCGGGCCCUGCAUGCUCUGCUUCAUCGUGCACAGUCCCGGCGCGCCCGCCCCCGCCGGCCCAGAGGAGGAGCCGCCGUUCUCGCCGCCGCCGCCGCCGCGGGACGGGGCCUACGCUGCCGCCUCCUCCUCCUCUCAGCACCUGGCGCGGCGCUACGCGGCCCUGGCCGCCGAGGACUGCGCCGCUGCCGCCCGCCGCUUCCUGUUAUCUUCGGCCGCCGCCGCCGCCGCUGCCGCCUCGGCUUCGUCGCCCGCCUCCUGCUGCAAAGAGCUGGGGCUGGCUGCGGCCGCCGCCUGGGAGCAGCAGGGCCGAAGCCUUUUCCUGGCCAGCUUGGGGCCGGUGCGCUUCCUGGGGCCGCCCGCCGCUUUGCAGCUCUUCCGGGGGCCGCCGCCGCCGCCGGCCGAGCCCCUUACGCCUCCCGAAAUGGUGUGCAAACGGAAGGGGGCCGGGGUCCCCGCCUGCACCCCCUGCAAGCAGCCCCGCUGUGGCGGCGGGGGUUGCGGCGGCGGCGGCGGCGGCGGUGGGGGAGGGCCUGCCGGGGGAGGCGCCUCGCCGCCGAGACCCCCCGACGCCGGCUGCUGCCAGGGUCAGGAGCAGCCCCACCAGCCGCUCUGCCCCCCGCCCUCUUCUCCCACUUCCGAAGGUGCCCCCACCGAGGCUGGCGGGGACGUUGUCCGAGUCGGGGGCACCGCCCCCUCGUCCGCCCAGCAGCAGCGUGAAUGUGGCGACGCGGACUGUCGGGAGCCCCCCGAAAACCCCUGCGACUGUCACAGGGAGCCGCCCCCCGAAACCCCAGACAUCAACCAGCUGCCGCCGUCCAUCCUGCUCAAGAUAUUUUCCAAUUUGUCACUGGAUGAGCGUUGCCUUUCUGCAUCAUUGGUUUGCAAGUACUGGCGUGACCUUUGUUUAGACUUCCAGUUUUGGAAGCAGCUGGAUCUUAGUAGUCGUCAGCAGGUCACUGAUGAAUUAUUGGAAAAAAUUGCAUCAAGAAGUCAGAAUAUAAUUGAAAUCAACAUUUCUGAUUGUCGUAGUAUGUCUGAUACUGGCGUAUGUGUUCUAGCAUUUAAAUGUCCUGGACUUCUUAGGUAUACAGCCUACAGGUGUAAACAACUUUCUGACACCUCUAUUAUUGCGGUUGCCUCUCACUGUCCUUUACUUCAGAAAGUGCAUGUAGGCAACCAGGACAAACUUACUGAUGAAGGACUCAAGCAGCUGGGCUCAAAAUGCAGAGAACUCAAAGAUAUUCAUUUUGGCCAAUGUUACAAGAUCUCAGAUGAAGGCAUGAUCGUCAUAGCUAAGGGCUGUCUGAAAUUACAGAGAAUAUACAUGCAGGAAAACAAAUUAGUAACAGAUCAGUCGGUGAAAGCAUUUGCUGAACACUGUCCUGAGCUUCAAUAUGUAGGCUUCAUGGGUUGUUCAGUCACUUCUAAAGGAGUCAUUCACCUAACCAAGCUAAGCAACCUUUUUCUUCAACCUUCCUUCAUUUCACAACUAUUAGAAAGCUGCUAUAUUGGCAACACAAUGAUGAAAAAAAAAACAGCUAAGAAACCUUUCCAGCUUGGACCUACGUCAUAUCACUGAACUGGAUAAUGAAACCGUGAUGGAAAUUGUCAAGAGGUGCAAAAAUCUUAGCUCUCUCAAUCUCUGUCUGAACUGGAUCAUAAAUGACAGGUGUGUGGAGGUCAUUGCAAAGGAAGGACAAAACCUGAAAGAGCUGUAUUUGGUGUCCUGUAAAAUCACAGAUUAUGCACUGAUAGCCAUUGGGCGGUACAGCAUGACAAUAGAGACUGUGGAUGUUGGAUGGUGUAAAGAAAUUACAGAUCAAGGAGCCACCCUGAUUGCACAGAGCAGCAAGUCUCUGAGAUAUUUGGGGCUGAUGAGAUGUGAUAAAGUCAAUGAAGUGACAGUGGAACAGCUGGUGCAGCAGUACCCCCACAUCACCUUCAGCACUGUCCUGCAGGACUGCAAGAGGACCUUGGAGAGAGCCUAUCAGAUGGGCUGGACCCCCAACAUGUCUGCUGCCUCCUCCUAAUGCUCCCGCCCCGCCUAGUCCACUGGGAUCAUUCAGCAGAGCAGAGGAGAAUUGUACAUUUGUGGGGCCGAUCUCUCGGAAGAGUUUUAACUGUCACCUGUCUGUGUGUGUCCAAGUAUGUGUAUUUGUGUCUUGCUGCAUACCAAAAGUGCAGUUGUCAUUUGUUCCCAAGUGAGCUGGCUUUUUUUCUUAGAAAUUAAAGAUUAUGAAAGCCACACACCUUUUAGUUUUAACUUCAAAGGCUUCUUUCUCUUUAAAAAAAAAAAGUUUUUUAAUAGAGUCAAAAAAUUGGAUGUAUUAUUUUGAACUUCUAAUUGCUGCCGCUUGGAGCUGUCCAAAUAAGAAGGCCUUCUUUUUACGUGGGAUGAAUUGUGCACUUCUACUGAUGACGACUACAGCAGAAGUGAUGUUACAAAUGCAGGCACUUACACUCUCUCACAUACUCACACGUGUGCACAUCUACACCAGGGCAGUAUCUUUCUAGAUCAUUUCCUGACAGAAGCCUUCUUCCAGGCCACUGAGGGAGCAUGUUAUCCACUGUGGCACUGCCUAACUCCGUGUAUCUAUGGGUGGCCAACUUGCUAUCUGUUGGGUGACUUAGGGACUAGAAAGAAUAAAGCUUAUUGUAAAUUUUUUAUAUGGAGACAACAAUCUGAACUCCCCUGGCCAGCUCACAAAAGUUAAUUAUUCAUUAUUCUACAAAUGUAUUCUGUUGAGCACUAAAAAUUUUAGUUGGUUUUAUGUUAACAUUGUGUUAGCUUUUAUUUCCUGGAUAGUAACUGGUCAGGAUAUAUUUUAAUAACAUUUGAAGCUAAUCUUAGCAUUGAAGCCACCAAUGUAAUUAAUGGUGUGCAGUUACUUUAAAAACUACACAUCAGUUUAUUAUUUUCCUAAUUUUGGUAAUUAUUAAAGUCUAUUUCUGAGAUGCGAGAGGGUAGUCACAUUAAUAGAAGAUUCAUGAAUGAGAUAUAAGUAGACAAUCUUUCUACUGUUGUCGCUUUUUUUGCUUUGCUUUGGGUUUUGGGAUAGGAUUUUUGGAUAUAUGCAUGUUGUCAUUUUUGACUAGUUCUCAUGCUACCGCAAAGAUUUAUUGCUAGCUAAUAUAUGAGUUAAGAAGGAAAAUUAGAAAAUCUGUUCAUUGAAAUUCUGUUUACACUUGUCAGAAAUAAGCAUUUCUUUGUUUAAUUAAACAUUGCCAGCUUCAGUUAAGACAAGACCUAUCAGUAAAUGAAUAUAUGUUUUGAUUUAACACAUCUUUACAAUUAAUUCAUAAUAGGGACUCAGGCUCAAAUAACUGUUCCUGUGUCUAGAUUUAUAAUGAGGACAUCAGGGAGCCUUUUUAAGCUAAAGAGUGAUUAUCUUUCACAGUAGAAGUAGAAACUAAACCCUAACUUGUGAAUUUGCUAUUUAUUCUUCCCUGAGUGAAUAUAACUGUUAUUUGGUCUUUAACAGAUAUACUGAAGUUUGAGUUUCACUUUCUUUAAGUCCCACAUUGCUAACAUGACAUUAGCUGUAAAAAAAACAAAAGAUAGCUUUACAUUUGAAUGCCGUUUACUGAUUUCCAAUGAUUCUCUUUUUUUGUAAACAGCUGUUUCCUUUGAUUAUGUCAACAUGUUUCUGAUGUGGCAUUUUUGUUUUUAUCCCAAUCAGUCAGAAAAAUCUAGUCAGUAAGCACCAUGAGUAUUUUUCCCAUAACUAAAUGGGUUUCUAAUUUAAUUUGAAGGAAAUAAAAUCUGUGUAAGAAAAAAACUGUUUAACAUGAAUAAACUAUAUUUCUUCUUACACUUUGAACUAUAUCAUUUUCAUAUCCACUUCCCCACCACUGAAAUGUCUUAUUUCACAGUAUUUUAACUGAUUUUUAAUCCAAACUAAUUUAUAAGACAGUAUGUAUGUAAUAGUAGCUUGAGUGAAUAUGCAAAAGUUUAAUUUUUAUAUAUGUCAUACUAUAUUUUAAAUAGUUAAAAAGACAAAAGAAGGGAGAGCCAUCUAUGAUAUAGGUGGCACCAUUUCAGUUCAAAGUUGUAAUAAUCUUUGGAGUGUUACAGUUUGAUUGUCAAAUGGUUUCAGAGUGUAUAAUUGAUUUUUUAAAAUGUCGCAUUGUUUGAAUCUGAAGUACAGCACUAUAACAUGCUUUAGCUUGGUGGGUGGGGGUGGGGUGGGGACUUGCACUUAUUCUCUAAAAUGUUGACCUAUCCAGAAAGCCUGAUGCAACAUAAUCUGGAAAACUGCUUUGGUACAUUUGUAGAAAUCUGUAGAAAUACCAUAUCCAGCCUCAAAGCAUUAAUCUAAAAAAAACAGCCAGAAAAAAAGCAUCACCUUGAGUGAUCCUGUGAUGGUUGUUGAAUGUGUUCUCAUUAGAUGCUUUGAAAUGAGGCUUAAAAUAAUUUUUCUGGGCAAUAUAGAGUUUCUUUUUUUUGCUUAGAAUGUCGUAAAUACAUGUGAACACGUUUAAUGCAGGGCUUUUUAUUCUCUCCAAAAUGUCAACAGUAUUUUCAGAAUAAAGACUAUGAAAUAUAUUGCUGUAAUGGAAAAUUCUGGUCCUUUGUCUUUAAUGUCCUUUUGAGUGAAUAAAGAAAAUUCACCCGGUUUGUAGUUUCUAUAUUUCUGUGAAUCUUUGACCUUGCAAUGGGUUGCAAUAAAAGAGAAACAAAACACUG